rnacentral:lncRNA from 1 species
GCAGCAAGAGACAGUAUAUAUGAAAAUGACAACACAUGGUAAAAGGGCACUCAAUCCAAGCUUUUGCUUGAUUUUGUUCAACAGAAGACUUUGGUUGCUUGAUCAUAGCCAAAGAGGUGACACACAAACAAAGAAAUUGCGAGGAAUUAAAGUGCAAUGGGCCUAGAUUCCUUACAAAGGCACUAAUCCAGCAUACUAAUUUCAGCCUAGGUUCCUCAAUCAUUUAAGAACAUAUCUGAAGUACAAAAAGAGGGUAGUUUUGUUACUAAUUGUACAGCGCUGACACAGAUAAAGACAGACUGGUCUAUUUUUCAAAUUGAAGGGGAAAAUAGUAAGAUACUGUUCUGUUCCUAUUAUACAGUUGCUAAUUUCCUCCAGAUCCAUCAAUUCAAGAACCACACCCUAGAAAGCAACAACAUUUGGAUGAUGCAACUUUGAAAGAAUUUGUGCCUCCCUCCAAAAGUCUUUGGUCUGUACAUAAAUGCAAGUUGGCAUUUAUAUCUCAUGAAGAUAAUAUGAAUGUGCUCUAUCAACCAUGUUUCAAUUUCAAAAUUUCGAUUACUAUUUCAAAAAUUCAAAAAGACAUGGACCUCAAAACAGAUUCUCCUUCUCAGAACAAAUAAGGGAGAAACAAAUACAUAACCAGCAUUCAUGUACAGACUGAAUUAACCAAGGAAGUUGCAUUUCUGAAAUUGAGCUAACAACAAAGCAUGCAUAACCAAAAACUAAACAACAUGAUCUAACAAAAGGUAAUGAUUCUCCAAGCAAAGCAACUUUGGAGAAAAAUGCAAACAUUGGGAACUCUCAAACCAAAGUUUAACAUCAAACCUUCCACCAGAGGCACAUUUUCAGUCGGCAACAGCGAAUGUUUUGAGAAGAAAACCAAAGUUUUAACAUCAUCGCCACUGAUUAAGCCGGAUUUCAAUCAAUUAAGUUCUAACAAAGCAACUACUGAAUCUCAAAAAACGACUGAAUCACAGCUAAAGUUUCCUAUCAAAUUUUUUGUCUGAAUGUUACACAGCAACAGAGUUUAGAUUUGCCCAUGGCGGGGCGACAGAGUUUUCUCAAAACUCUGCAGCCGUCCGCUGCCUCUUCCCCUUCCCGCUGUCAAGCAGGAAGAGGUCAGCGCAGUCGAUGGGGACACGCCUCCCGGGUCCAAGAACCUCCAUGGCGCGGUAGACCUGGUGGCACGAAAUGUUGUGGCCUUCCCUCGGGGGGGAGUCGCCCACCUCCAGGAGGAGCACCCUCUUGGCGGCACCCUGCCGGUGCCGUGGAGACGAUCCCUGGAUGGGGGGCGGAGAAGAGGAUGCCGGCCCCGGCGCAGAGGAUGCCGGCCCGAGAGACGAGGCCUCCAGGGAAGGCGGAGCAGAGGAGGCCGGCGGCUCCAGGGAAGGAGGCGGAGAGGAGACGGCGCUGCUGCUUCUUGCGCUGCUGAAGACGUCGCAGGAGCGCUGGAGCAGCGGCGGCGAAGACGUCGGCGCUGGAGCAGAGGAGGCGGCCGCGGUCCUUGUUGCGCUGGCGGUCGGUCCCUGUCCCUGGGACCUGGACCUCUUCUUGGUGGCGACGCGCGGAGACGGGUAGACCUUUGAGAGCGCCAGCUCGUCCCCGCCGGCGAGGCGUCCUGCCUGGCCGGGGAGAAGGAGCUCGUGCAUGAUGAACCCGCCGCGGGGUCCACCCUUGUGCUCCGCCUCCUUGGAGAUGAAAGAGAAGGCCUGCUUGGUUCCGAUCAUCUUGUCGGGGGCGGCUUCGACGGGGACGGGGGCGCGCUCCGACUUCCAGAACCCCCCCGGCACGACCCUGCUUCUUCUUGCAUCCGUCGCGGUGAGGGGGCGUACCAGGUUCACGAAGUAGGAGGCACGCUUGCCGUCGGGCGAUGUCGCCGGCGGAUGGCGCCGCAGNNNNNNNNNNNNNNNNNNNNNNNNNNNNNNNNNNNNNNNNNNNNNNNNNNNNNNNNNNNNNNNNNNNNNNNNNNNNNNNNNNNNNNNNNNNNNNNNNNNNNNNNNNNNNNNNNNNNNNNNNNNNNNNNNNNNNNNNNNNNNNNNNNNNNCUGUGGUUGGUUGCCGUUGCCGUUGCCCCUGUUUCCUUCAGGCCGGGAAUUUGGAGGCGGAGGGAGAAUUGGGGAACAGGGGGAAUAACUGAAGACUCAACUCUAUUUCCUUCAGACUCCACCACUUGUCCAACAUGCAGGUCAGCUUCAACGCGGCGGUGCUCUGUGCCGCGCCAGGCUGUGACCACCACGGUUGCCAAGGAGGGCCAUUUCCAUCUGGUCGCCGUGUCCACCAUUCUGCCGGGAACAGUGACUUCCGUAUGGAUGUAAUUGUCGGAGACUCGCGCGUGGACCGAGCUCGCCUCUCUUCAUCACCACGAUGACAAGUGCCCUUUUAGCUUGGCCGCGCCUUAGCGUCCUUGUGGGCGAUGCACUCUACUUCGACGUUGGUGGGAUCGUGGAGUGCCAACUUGGCGCGCUCCGCUUGUCAGUGUUGAAGAAGCCGGUCGCGGGCAAGGGGUGUCUCAUGGCGGCGCAAGACAGCCGAUCUAACCCUAUGGUCAAUGGAGACUGGGCCGGAGGGGGCCAUGGGGUGCGCAAAACUCAGAGUGGUCGAUCUUAGGACUUUGCUCCUUGACGGUGCCCCCUGGAUCCCAGCACCUAGCGAUGGGAUUAUUGGCGUCUCUCGCCGAGGCCACCCCAGAUCAUUUAUGCUAGAACAUAUGAUGGUACCUACAUACAUGGUCGAUCUCAAGCCAGGCGGAGUGAGGAAGAAAAAAAGCUUACCCCACAGUCAAUACGGCGCAGUAGCAGUACAUGUACAUCCCUGUUCCUUCAGGCAUCCAAUGUGACAUUCCCCUCCCAAACUGAACAAAUAGCAACAUACACUUGUCAGCUUAUCACAAAAGGAGAUUGCCAAAGCUAAGAAAAACAGCAUGAUAUCUCGAUACAGAAAAAAAAAUCAUGAAAGCAUGUCAAUAUAAGCACCGCAAUGGUCUACAGUCUGUGAUUGGUGAGCAUACUUGGUCAGAAUAGAAAGCAGCACACUUGGGUCACUAAAUUUAUUUUUCCCAAAAUUACGGAGCCUGCAAAAGCCAAGAAGAAAAGGAAAUUAUCUUUCUGGUAGGAAAUAGCAAAUUCAUGGCGGAAAUUAAAAGUGUUCAGUAUGAGGAUGAAAUGAUCAGAUUCAAACAUUUCUCCGCACACUUCUUCUCUAUGAGACCGACAAUCACGGCAGGAACAGGUUCUGGUCCACGACCGACUAGGCCUUUCAGUUCAGUGCCUCGCAAAUCUUAACACAUUCAGUGGAACAAUGCCGCUCCUGCAGCAGGCAAUCAACCAUUAAUACAGAUCUUUGCUCUUAUAUACAAAGCUCUCAACAUAUCUCGGACUGUAGACAUCACCGUAAAAUCAGCCAUGUCCUGUUCUUUCAGGCAUCCAACGCUCCGACACUGAAAAAAUAGCAACAUACACUCGUCAGCUUAUCACAAAACCAGCAUGAUGUCUAAAUCAGAAAAAUCAUGAAAGCAUGCCAAUACUCAAUGUAAACUACACUAGAGUCUAUGAUUGAUGAACAAAACAGCACAGUUCGGUCACCAAAUUUCUUUUCCCCCAAAUCAUGGAGCCUACAAAAGCCAAGAAGAGGAACAAACCAGGUGGUGGCUAGCUGCAAGCUGCAGGGCGUUUGGGGGUGGCUCCGUGACGCGCCGCCACGCCGGCCUGGACCUUCCCCCACCGGAGCGGCGGCAGUGCUAGGUGAGGGGGGAGCGACAACGCGGUCGACACGAGCGGCCGCGCUGGUCGUCAGGGGUGGAGAGCGCGGAGAGGGAGCAAGGCGGGGGCUGGGGCUGGGGCUGGCAGAGAGACGGCGGCGGAGAGGGCGGGCAGAGCAAGCCGCGGCGGCGUGUGGGGAAAGGGGAUUUUUUUUUUGAGCAACCGGGGAGAAGGUGAGAUGGGUGGGCAAAGAGGAGUGGGUGAUGUGUGUGUGGUUCAAGUUUUUUUUGUGUUUAUAGGAAACGAAGAAAAUACUCCUGGCAGCUCCCUUUCCUCUUUCUUCUCACCAGGUGGUACCCCCUGAAGAGAGCAGUUUCCUUCCCCUUCCCUCCGUUCGUUGCCCCAUUGGCGACGGCAGGUUUGGGAUUUCUUUUGGUUCAUGUCUAGGUGUAGGCUUAGUUUUAGUUUGUUCACGCAACGUCGUUCGGUCGGUGCCGACAUCUUCACCUGGAAUAAAUUUUUCCGAACCACGACCUUGACAGCGUUCUACGACGGCUUUGAGGAGUCACAGAUUUCUGUCCAGGCAAGGCCUUAAAGACAACGGUGGAGAUCUUGCCGAGGGUCUUGUUUCUUCGACUUUGUCCACGCCGCGUCAACGGUUCCUUCAGCGUUGUCGCGAAGCCAAAAGUGUUGGUGUUGGAGGUGGCCGGCGUUGUGGCGGCUGUACCGUUCGAGGUAUAUGGUGCACCUAGAGUUUCUUCGAAGGUGGAAGAUGGUUGCCGGUUCUGGAACCCCUCGGCGGCGCUGCCGCAUGAAGACUUCAGAAUCACGAAACAACAGGAGUGGAGAUUUGUUUUGUCCCACUACCCACAUCGACAAGUGCAACGUCGUUCGCAGCAGCGCCUGUUCGAAGGCUCACUGUCAGGACCCCGACUCAAUGCCACAUCGAUCUAGCAUGUAACACCUCAUAUCACUUUGCGGCCUCACGCACGGUAUUCCCACGGGUGUCACCUUACCUUUGCCCGAGACCGUUUGCGCCUUUUGGCACACGUAUAUGAUGGUGUCGCUAGCAUCCAUAUGAUAAGGAGCCCGGGCUGACAUGGCUAGUCGUAAACCCAAAGUGGCACAAACUUACAGGGACAGGCAUCCAUGACCCAGCAUCGAACGUGUCGGUCAUCAGCGAGUGAAUCCAGGCUGUAGCACUGGGCUAGCAGGACUCCGGUGAACCGGGAUAUAGCGGGCUAAUAGGACUCUGGUAUUCAUCGUGUGACAUUUCCCCGAAGGGACAGACACAGGAACGAAGAAGGACACAUGUCGGCCAGCCUAAGUGUUCCGGAGCAGUAGCAAGCUACCAUGGCUCAGUGGAAGCACUAGGAGACAUUUCCCGGUAAGAGAGGCUACCAAGGAUAAACAACUAGAUAGUCAGAUCCCACACAUACCAAGCAUUUCAAUAACAUACACAUAAUGCUCGAUAUGUGUAAAUACAACAUGGCAUCACAACAUAACUCUACGACUCAAGUAUUUUAUUCAAUAGGCUCCGAGGAGCGAGAUAUUACAAACAUGGGUCUCACGACCCAACAUUCAGAGCAUACAAGUCAAAGCACAAACAGAAGCUUAACAUGUCUGAGUACAGACAUCUACAAAUGAAAAGGGCUGAGAAGCCUGACUGUCUACCAGAUCCUGCCGAUGGCACAAGAUCGUAGCUGUGGUAACAAGCUAAACGUCGAAGUCCAAGCGAAACUACUAGUGAGACUGAAGUCUCUCUGCAAAAACAUAAAAUAGGCAAACGUGAGUACAAAUGUACCCAGCAAGACUUACAUCAAAACUAUCUACAUAUGCAUCAUUAUCAACAAAGAGGAUGGUGGGGUUUAACUGCAACAAGCCAGCUUUGACUCAGUGGCUAUCCUAAACUACGAUCGCAAGUAACUCUUUUGAGGUGGCGCACACGAGUCCACAUAUUCACCAUAUCAAUACACCACUAUGGAUCCGCUCCCGUCUCCCUACGAGAACGCCAUCCAUAGCACUCACACUUAUCUUGCAUAUUUUAGAGUAUCCACUUUCACUUGUCUAUGAACUAUACAGGCAACCCAGAAGUCCUUUUCCGCGGACACGGCUAUUCGAAUAGAUGAUAUUAACCCUGCAGGGGUGUACUUCUUCACACACGCUCCCACCACUUACCACCGUUUACACGACAUGUACUCGGCAACCUUCAAGCGAAAGCCCAACGAGGGUGUCGGCCACGACCUACCUAAACACUCAAGUCUCUAGUCCAGGUUUAUCACCUAUUCGGGUUCCAUCCGCGAGGAGAUCCGGCCGGAGUUUUGCUCACAGCCCCAAACGAUGUGUGCAGGGUUCCCGAGACACCAAACGGGCGCCCGGUACACCGUGCCACGUGCCUACCGCAUCACAGCCCACCCCUCCGGUCAGCGCUGCCCACAGCCUCCAGCAUACUACAAACACCAGAAACUACUUGCAACUCCUGAACAGAGGACAAGGGUGAUUAAGAAGCCGAGAGGGUCCAUUGGUUUCGGGCCCAAUGCAUGGUAGUAACUGUUUCAUGGAUCACAAACACAGAACUCAGUUCCUGAGGACGGUUUCAGUGAGACAACCCACCAUGUACUCCUACAUGGCCUCUCACUGCUACCUUUACCAAAUCGUAUUCACACACUUUGCUCACACACACAGUAGGACAUGUUCACACACCUCUGAUUCAUUCCCGAUGAAUCAGACCUGACUCAACUCUAAGCAAUAGCAGGCAUGACUAACAAGCAUGAAUGAGGAGGCACAACAGGGGCUCAAACAACUCCUACUCAUGCUAGUGGGUUUCAUCUAUUUACUGUGGCAAUGACAGGUCAUGCAGAGGAUAAAGGGGUUCAGCUACCGUAGCAAGUAACAGAUGAAUCGUUGUUGUCCUAAUGCAGUAAAAGAGAGCAGGAGUGAGAGAGUGGGAUUGUAUCGGAAUGAACAAGGGGGUUUUUCUUGCCUGGCACUUCUGAAGAUAAUAUAGCUCUUCAUCGGUGUCAUCGAACUCAUCGUCGGAACACGUCUAUCGAGAGGGGGCAAAUACCGGCAACCGAGAAGAAAUACAAUCAAUGCAAUGCACAAUAUGAUGCAUGAUCAUGACAUGGAAAUAUGUUGUGAUUUGGGCUAAUGCAGAUAAGAGCAGGAAGGUUUGAGCUUAUUUGAACCAAAGAUUCAAAUUCAAACUCAAACUAUGAAUUCAUAAAGUGCAUUAUCAUGUUUUGAUAUGAACAGCAAGGUUAAGUAGCUUAAACAUGCAUGAAACCAGUGCAGAUGGAUAUAUUGGAUUUUUCUGAUCAUUUUUCAUAUAUAAAUUAUUUCAUUCUGAGUUACGGUUAAAUUUCUAUGAAUUUUAGAAGUUUAGAGCAUUUUCUGGAAUUUCCUGUAUAAAAAUAAAUCCAGAAAAUACUUAUUGCGUCAGCAUUGCGUCAGGGUGACGUCAGCAGGUCAAAGGCGCCAGCCCAGGUCAAACCUGACGGCUGGGACCCACAUGUCAGUGUAACAACUAACUAACAGAGUUAGUUAGCGUUAGGUUAGCACUAACCUAGGUUAAUUAGAGCCUGGGCCCACUUGUCAGUUAGUCAACUAAUUAACUAGGUUAAUUAGUGCUAAUUAAACUCACACCUAAACUAAAUAGGGGCAUGGCCCACGCGUCAGUGACCCUGGGGGGGGGGGGUCAAACCCCAAGUCAAACGACUCAACCUCGCCGGAGUUGGUCCACGGCUCAUCGCCGGUGAUGCCAGAGACGGCGGAGGUGCUCGGGUUUGCGUCUCCGGCGACCAAACGGGCGGCCGAGAGCACGCGCGAGGAGCUGGGGCUCGCCCGCAUCCAGGGAGGCAUGCGGCAACAACAGGGACGGCCGGAGCUCGCCGGAAACGAGCUCGAGGCGGCGCCAGUGUUCGGGUGUUUCUGGCUACGGGGCUGCAGUGGCUGUGGUAUCGCGUUCGUGGCACCUACAGCAGCUACGCGAGGCAGCGAGCAUGUUGGACACGACGCCCGGACCAAAUGGUCGCCGGAGUCGUGUCGGCGGCGAGUGCAGGCGGCGGCGCAGUCGGGCGAGAGGGGCGUGGUGGCUACAGCAUGCCAGAGAGAGAACGGAGAGGGGUAGGAUGAUCAGAAGCUCACGUAGAUCACGACGGGCGAGUCGGUGAGCUCGGGGAGGGGCCGGAGCGAGCGGGGCGGCGGAGGCGAUCUCGGCGACCCGAGGAAGAAGAAGGCGUCGGGGGCGGCGCGGCAGGGCGUCCGGCGAGGCUUGGCUCGUAGAGGAUGAAGCUGGAGAUGAUACGGAGCUCGGGGAGGCAGAGAUGGAGCAAGGGAGUGGUUGUGGGCGCGGGGUUACGGCGGCGCAUCCAUGGAGGUUUCGGCCAUGGCGGAGAACGGGCCAGCGAGAGGAGUUGGGGGCGAAUGGAGGGGUCCAGGGGGUCGGGGCGACGACGUGGAGGUCGUCCAGACAUUCAGGGGCGCGAGCGGCAAGCAGGAGGUGGCGGGAAGACGUGGCCGCGGCCGCUCGCGUGCGGGCAUGCAGCUGCUUCGGGGCGAGGGGAGGAAGACGACGGAGGGCUGCGGUGGUGGGCUGGGCCAGUUGGCCAGGCCGCCAGCUGGGCCGGCCAGGUGGGCUGGGCCGGCACAGUGCCAGGCCAGGUAAGUGGCCCAGGUAAAAUCUCUCUCUCUCUUUUAUUUAUUGUUUCGGUUUUCUAUUAUUCUGUAGUCUUUAGGGCUUUAUAUAAAAUACUUAAACAGAUCCAAAAAUCAUGAAACUAAUCAUGGCUACUGUUUAGAAUAUAUUCAACAGUAAACAUUUUAGUUUAUGAUUAUUUGAGCAUUUAAAAUAUUUUAUAGUAUUUAAAUGCCCAAAUGCAAAUAGAGUAUAAUUUAAUUCAGAGCCCAAUAUGUCCUGCAAAAAUAUAAACCAUUUUUGGUAGAUGCUUACACCUCAAACCAGAAAUGUUGAACAUUUUUAGAGGGCAUUUUGAGUUCAAUGAAAAACAUUUUAUUUUGACCCUAGUUGGAUUCAUUUGGUGCUAGGGUUUAAACAAUCCCCAUUUCAAGUUUCUUUAAAUUUAAACAUGAUGCAUGGAUGCUUAUGCAGAGACAAGCAAGGCUUGAACUGGGGACGUGACAACUCACCCCCACUAAACAAGAAUCUCGUCCCGAGAUUCAAGCGUAGGGUAAGAUGAAAUGGGAGCGCAAACUAACACAAUCUUCAUGAUCCAGGUUGCACUUCAAAUGAACGUUGAUUCGAUCACCAUCAUUGACUCGAUGUCUUCCUCCAGAAACUCCUACCAAUAUGACCACGAGAGGGAAAAGAAACUCUAGAAGGAUCGAUCUUCUCAAAGAUCGAGCAACUCAUGAUGUCUAAAUCAGAAAAAUCAUGAAAGCAUGCCAAUACUCAAUGUAAACUACACUAGAGUCUAUGAUUGAUGAACAAAGCAGCACAGUUCGGUCACCAAAUUUCUUUUCCCCCAAAUCAUGGAGCCUACAAAAGCCAAGAAGAGGAACAAACCAGGUGGUGGCUAGCUGCAAGCUGCAGGGC